UGAAAUAAUGGAAGAUACCGAGAAUAUCCUCAAAGAGAGGGUUGGUGAUGACACUGAUUCUGAUCAAAAUAGUGAAGAUGAAGAUGACAACAGCAGGGAUAUGAAAGAAAAGAAAAUGAUCGUUGAGGAGGAUGAUCCAGAUUGGCCUCUAGAUGCAGAUGUUGGAUGGGGAAUUAGAGCAUCAGAGUAUUUUGACAAGCAUCCAAUAAAAAACGUAGUAGGAGAAGAUGGAGUUGAGAUCGAUUGGGAUCCAGAUUGGCCCCUAGAUGCAGAUGUUGGAUGGGGAAUUAGAGCAUCAGAGUAUUUUGACAAGCAUCCAAUAAAAAAUGUAGUUGGAGAAGAUGGAGUUGAGAUCGAUUGGGAGGGGGAGAUUGAUGAUUGUUGGGUGAAG
rnacentral:lncRNA from 1 species